rnacentral:rRNA from 1 species
CAGCACCUCAAGUGGUCAGGAUGAUUAUUGGGCCUAAAGCAUCCGUAGCCGGCUCUGUAAGUUUUCGGUUAAAUCUGUAUGCUCAACAUACAGGCUGCCGGGAAUACUGCAGAGCUAGGGAGUGGGAGAGGUAGACGGUACUCGGUAGGAAGGGGUAAAAUCCUUUGAUCUAUUGAUGACCACCUGUGGCGAAGGCGGUCUACCAGAACACGUCCGACGGUGAGGGAUGAAAGCUGGGGGAGCAAUCCGGAUUAGAUACCCGAGUAGUCC